CAGGGAAUCUUCCACAAUGGGCGCAAGCCUGAUGGAGCAACACCGCGUGAGUGAAGAAGGGUUUCGGCUCGUAAAGCUCUGUUGUUAAAGAAGAACACGUAUGAGAGUAACUGUUCAUACGUUGACGGUAUUUAACCAGAAAGUCACGGCUAACUACGUGCCAGCAGCCGCGGUAAUACGUAGGUGGCAAGCGUUAUCCGGAUUUAUUGGGCGUAAAGAGAGUGCAGGCGGUUUUCUAAGUCUGAUGUGAAAGCCUUCGGCUUAACCGGAGAAGUGCAUCGGAAACUGGAUAACUUGAGUGCAGAAGAGGGUAGUGGAACUCCAUGUGUAGCGGUGGAAUGCGUAGAUAUAUGGAAGAACACCAGUGGCGAAGGCGGCUACCUGGUCUGCAACUGACGCUGAGACUCGAAAGCAUGGGUAGCGAACAG
rnacentral:rRNA from 1 species